GCGGGUUUAGCUCAGUUGGGAGAGCGUCAGACUGAAGUAGCACUUCAUUCCGCAGCCGCCUCAGCGGCCUGCAAUCUGAAGGUCAUGUGUUCGAUCCACAUAAACCGCA